rnacentral:rRNA from 1 species
GUUUGACCUCAAAUCAGGUAGGAAUACCCGCUGAACUUAAGCAUAUCAAUAAGCGGAGGAAAAGAAACCAACAGGGAUUGCCUUAGUAGCGGCGAGUGAAGCGGCAAAAGCUCAAAUUUGAAAUCUGGCACCUUCGGUGUCCGAGUUGUAAUUUGAAGAUUGUAACCUUGGGGUUGGCUCUUGUCUAUGUUUCUUGGAAACAGGACGUCACAGAGGGUGAGAAUCCCGUGCGAUGAGAUGCCCAAUCCUAUGUAAGGUGCUUUCGAAGAGUCGAGUUGUUGG